CACGAUUUUAUAUGUCAUUAUUAAUUAAUCCCUCUUCUUCACAUUGAGAUUCGCGGAAAUUUCCCAGCCGUUACAACGGAUUUGGCUCUGCGCGCUUGGAUUUACAGCUGAUAUUUUCUAAAAAUGUAAUAUCACGACUCACAAGAAACUUGUUGUCAGAUUUUUGGUAAACAUGAUAUGCUUUUGAUAAAACGCAAUAUCCAACAAAAAUCUUGUGCCGCUGAACGAUUUUGUGCUAAUUGGACCAAGCACGUCCGAAUGUUAAGGGUGUUUUUUUAGAGAUAAUCUUGUGGCAUUAGAUUUUAAAUAUGGUUUACAGAAUAUGACACAGCAUAUAUACAGCAAUGUCCUAAAAUCAAAGAGAUGUUAAUAAACCAUUUUUAAAUUUCGCAACAAUGCCGCUUUCAGAAGAGCGCUGAUCGCUUCAGGAGAGCUUGACAACGGCCAACUCAGUAAAACAACAGCUACUCAAUGACACAGCACAAUCGCUUUCCAGUCCACUACCGUUAUUUUGCUAGUACCACCGCUAUGUAUCAGGGAAACACCAACAGACCCCAGUAGAUUCGGCGACUACUGUCGGCAGUGUUAAUCCCCCCCGAUUGUUUGACCGCGUUCCUGACACAAAAUACCUGGUAGCGCAGACAUCUUCGCAACGCAGCGUCGUUUCAACGUUUCAUCAACGAUGUUCUUUCCAAUCUUGAUUUCGCCUACGCAUACAUCGACGACCUCCUCAUAACCUCAAGCAAUGAAUGACAACACUAACAACAUUUGCGUUUGAUAUUUCAGUGGCUCAGCCAAUACGGCCUUUGCAACAAUGUAGACAAAUGCGUCUUAUGCUCAACCAACGUCGAAUUCCUCAUAUAUCAAAUUUCCUUGCUUGGCUCAACACUACUAAAUGAUCGGGUGCAAUCGCUCCG